CGAAGGGUGCUAGCGUUGUUCGGAAUCACUGGGCGUAAAGCGCGCGUAGGUGGCUUUUCAAGUCAGGGGUGAAAUCCCACGGCUCAACCGUGGAAUUGCCUUUGAAACUGUAAAGCUAGAGUGUCGGAGGGGAUAGCGGAAUUGCUAAUGUAGAGGUGAAAUUCGUAGAUAUUAGCAGGAACACCGGUGGCGAAGGCGGCUAUCUGGACGACAACUGACGCUGAGGCGCGAAAGCGUGGGGAUCAAACAGGAUUAGAUACCCUGGUAGUCCACGCUGUAAACGAUGGAUGCUAGCCGUUGGGGGGACACCCUUCAGUGGCGCAGCUAACGCGUUAAGCAUCCCGCCUGGGGAGUACGGUCGCAAGAUUA
rnacentral:rRNA from 1 species